CGCCCACCCCCGGGGAGCCAGCAAGGCUGAGAGUUGUGGGUAUGCUCCACAAGACCCGUUGAACCUGAACCCGUUAGCACGGGCGGAGGGAGUGGACAGCCGCAUCGG
rfam:Novosphingobium pentaromativorans TS6-1 contig00012, whole genome shotgun sequence.